GAUGAACGCUGGCGGCGUGCUUAACACAUGCAAGUCGAACGGGAAUUACUUUAUUGAAACUUCGGUCGAUUUAAUUUAAUUCUAGUGGCGGACGGGUGAGUAACGCGUGGGUAACCUGCCUUGUACAGGGGGAUAACAGUCAGAAAUGACUGCUAAUACCGCAUAAGCGCACAGGACCGCAUGGUCCGGUGUGAAAAACUCCGGUGGUAUAAGAUGGACCCGCGUUGGAUUAGCUUGUUGGUGGGGUAACGGCCCACCAAGGCGACGAUCCAUAGCCGGCCUGAGAGGGUGAACGGCCACAUUGGGACUGAGACACGGCCCAGACUCCUACGGGAGGCAGCAGUGGGGAAUAUUGCACAAUGGGGGAAACCCUGAUGCAGCGACGCCGCGUGAAGGAAGAAGUAUCUCGGUAUGUAAACUUCUAUCAGCAGGGAAGAA
rnacentral:rRNA from 1 species